rnacentral:rRNA from 1 species
CUGCACAACAAUGAUACUGUUCAGGAGAAGCUGUCUUUAGCAGCCCGUUUCGGUGUGACCAUCUAUUAUGGUUCUCCGGACAAGUUCCAGUUCCAGGGCAUUGUAAAGGCUCUGGCAGAAAAAUACCAUCUGGAUAUGCCGGAAGAAGAACUGCUUUUAGAGGCAAACAAGUGGGAAAUCAGCCACGGCGGACUGUCCGGACGUACUGCUUCCCAGUUUAUUACUCAUCUGUUAGGCAGAAAGUAAGAAUGGGACUAAUAAUGGGUGUAGUUAUGCGAUUUUACAUAAAAUUUACAAAGCCUUUACUCCCAUAUGAGGGUAAGGCAGGUUAAAUUGAGGUAGAAUACUGUAUACAGAUGUAUAAAACAGAACUAUUUUCAAAUUCCCCGUUUUGGGGAAUUUUUUAAAAGAACAUUACAGUUCUCUCGUAAGGAGGAAAAAAGUGGCCGUUAUGACAGCGAUUGCGGCGUCCAUUUACUCGGCGUAGACCACUACGCCUGCGUGAAUGUCCAUGCACUCACUGCCAUACCAACCACACUGCUUCGCGGGAAUAGGCGAGUACAUAGCCAUCGACCGCGUACUUUUUGUAGAACGGUCCGGCGAGUUGCCGGUGCUGGCAAGGUUAAAUGGUACAGCCAUGGAGCCGAAGGGAAACCAAGUCUCAAAUGGGCGUAAAGUCAGCACAGGCAGACCCGAAACCGGGUGACCUAUCCAUGUCCAGGAUGAAGCGGAAGUAAAAUUCCGUGGAGGUCCGGAUCCACAUCCGUUGAAAAGGGUGGGAAUGAGGUGUGGAUAGGGGAGAAAUUCCAAUCGAACCCGGAGAUAGCUGGUUCUCCUCGAAAUAGCUUUAGGGCUAGCCCCGUAUUAGUUUAGCGGAGGUAGAGCACUGAAUUCCUAAGGGGGCGUCAAAGCUUACCAAGGGAUAUCAAACUCCGAAUGCCGCAUAAAUGAUGUACGGGAGUCAGACUGCACGAGAUAAGUUGGGCAGUCAAAAGGGAAAGAGCCCAGACCUACAGCUAAGGUCCCAAAGUGUGUGUUAAGUGGAAAAGGAUGUGGGAUUUCAGAGACAACUAGGAUGUUGGCUUAGAAGCAGCCACACAUUCAAAGAGUGCGUAAUAGCUCACUAGUCGAGAGGUCCUGCGCCGAAAAUGUCCGGGGCUAAAACACAACACCGAAGCUUAGGAAUGUAGUAAUACAUUGGUAGAGGAGCAUUCUUAAAGGAAUGAAGCAGUACCGAUAAGGAGCUGUGGACUUUUAAGAAGAGAGAAUGCCGGAAUGAGUAGCGAGAUGGAGGUGGGAAUCCUCCAGGCCGAAUAUCCAAGGUUUCCAGAGUAAAGCUGAUCUGCUCUGGGUAAGUCGGGGCCUAAGGUAAGGCUGAGAAGCGUAGCCGAUGGACAACAGGUUGAGAUUCCUGUACCGCGUAUCAUCAGAACUGUGGGGACACAGAAGGACAGCACAUCCCGGGAAUGGAAAGACCGGGGCAAGCAGGGUAGGAGUUAAGCUGGCAAAUCCGCUUAACAAUCCGAAGCUGUGAUGCGGAGCGAAUUUAAGUAGCGAAGUGUGCGAUUCCGGCUGUCAAGAAAAGCCGCUAUUGUGUGAUACGUGCCCGUACCGUAAACCGACACAGGUAGAUGAGGAGAGAAUCCUAAGGCCGGCGGGAGAAGCAUUGUUAAGGAACUCGGCAAAAUGACCCUGUAACUUCGGGAGAAAGGGUGCCUGGGAAACCAGGCCGCAGAGAAUAGGCUCAAGCAACUGUUUAGCAAAAACACAGGUCUAUGCAAAACCGUAAGGUGAGGUAUAUGGGCUGACGCCUGCCCGGUGCUGGAAGGUUAAGAGGAGGGGUUAGCGCAAGCGAAGCUCUGAAUUGAAGCCCCAGUAAACGGCGGCCGUAACUAUAACGGUCCUAAGGUAGCGAAAUUCCUUGUCGGGUAAGUUCC